CAGCUUCACCAGGGAGUCCUCCAGGUAAGGCGCCCUCCGGGCCUCCUGCUCCUCCUUAGCUGCCACGCCCCCUGCGCAGCCUUGGCUGGUUCUUGGACAGCAUCCCUUUGUCCAGCCCGACAGCCAGCCUCCUGAACUCGCUGUCCUCCAGAGACCGGUCUGAAACCAGUCAGGAAUGUAUGGAUCAGCACAAAGUGCUUCGCAAAUGGGUUUAUCUAGGCUGGCCUUGGCUUCUACGUUCCUGGCUCCAAAUGGUUCCUGGUGACAGCUCUUUCCUCCCAAUUCUCUAGGAAUGGGAGAGAUGGCCAAAGGGAGAGAGAGGAUGCUUCUUGUUUUCCUUAAGAAGCAUCAAGUGCUUCUUACAAAGUGGAAUUGGAACUGUUGUUUAAAAAAAAUGACCCCGGCUGCUCGAGUUCCGAGAAUCUGCGCUGAACAGCCUGUGCUUGGUGUCACUUUUCUUUCUGGUGGGCUAGGAGGGAUUUUUGCACGCCCAGAUUGAGGCUGAGGUAGGCCAGGUCAGCCUUAAUUUAAGGCAAGUGUUCCUAGCAGAUGAGGCAACAGUCCAUGAGACUGUAGAUUGCACCUCCAGCUCCAAGCUAAUGCUCAUCAAAUUACCUGUCUUGAAGUGACCACUGUGAGUCUCAAUGUGCGGGACUUAGAACCAGGAGGGAAGCCCAAACUCUGUGCUCAUUUUGAAAUGAGCCUCUCCCUGUGUGCCCUGUGCACUCUCUGGGAGAGACAUUAGUAGGUCCCAGAAUGCAGCCAGGUGUGGCAAUGUUCCUUGAGUAAUUUCAGCGUUAUUCACAGAUUGAUAGAUUUGCCCUAGGGUGUUUUUUCUUUUCAAGAAAAUAGAAAACAACAACAAAAAAAAGUUUAUAACUGAAUUUUUGAGUUCUUGAGGUCAAAGAGAAGGGUUAAUAAUCUUUGUUUAACCCACAUUUAGUGGUCACAAACUUUAUUUUUACACUAAAACUAUUGUACUUUCUUUUUUAUCUGUCAUCCCAUUAAAAUUGUAAAGGAAAUAAUGUCAAUGGAUUGUGGAAUUGGAGCCAGAAAAUUGUCCAUUGUGGUAAUAUUGAAGUCUAUGGGAGCCCGAUAAUGUCUGGUUGGAUAAACCAAAGGAUGUGUAAAGCACUAUAUUGAUUCUCAAAAUUAAUAAAUAGUCCACUGAGGAUAAUUUUAAAAAUUAAAUUUUGGUAACAAAUCUGAGGAUAUUCAGCUAAUUAAUUAUAGUACAUAAUUUUUAGCACACCUGUAAAAGAAUACUGAAAUACUAUAAUAUUUCAAAUAAUAUGUGUGUGUGUGUGUGUGUGUGUGUGUGUAAUACCAGCUCCCAAGGUAGGGAAAAGCCUAUAUCAAUUCCGAAUGUACUGUAUGUGAAAGUGACAGUCUUGUUUUGCUGCUAGGUUCUACCCCCUGCCUGGAGCAGUUAGGUGAAUACUCCUGGCCCAAUGGUGACACCUGGUGGUCAGGACACUUGUUGGCUACCUUCUUAAGUCAGUUAUUUAGUCAUUGCAGGCAAACAUGUCCACUAGGCUUUUUGAAUAUUAUUAUUAUUAUUAUUAUUAUUAUUAUUAUUUUGGUACCGGAGCUUGAACUCAGGAGUACUGGACCACUGAGCCACAUCCCCAGCCCUAUUUUGUAUUUUAUAUUUAUAGACAGGGUCUGGCUGAAUUGCUUAGCGCCUCACCAUUGCUGAGGCUGGCUUUGAACUCACAAUCCUCCUGAAAUAUACUAUCCUAUUUAAUUCUCACAGCAAGCCUAGGGAUCCACAUUUUGUGAAUAAAUGAUUCAAAGUCUCCACAGAUGUUAUGUGUAAUGCCGAGAUUCUGAUACAGGUGUAAUGUCAAACAGGGUGAUGCCAGAUAAAGGGGGAAAGUGUGUUCUGUGCUGAAGUGUUUCUAAAUAGGCAACUUCCUAAUGGUUUUAAGGUGCAGUAGGUAUCAUUUGAUUUGUCCUCUGCAAGACUUGGAAAUGAAAAACUAUCCUGUGAUAAGCUUCACCCUUUCUCUUCCAACUAAAAUCUGGCUUUAAUCAAGGUAAACACAGGUAAAGUAAGCAUAUUGCUUGAUUUUUUGUUCAUUUUUUUACCUUUUAGGCUGAGCAGAGAAUGAGAAAAGUCUGAUUCUUGAUUUAUUUCCCCCUUGUUCCUCAAUUCUUUUAAAAAUUUAAUUUUUUUUUUCAGAAUAUUAUGUAGUUGGAAUCGAACAGUUUGGAGCCCUUUCAGACUGGUGUCUUUUGCUUAGUAAUGUGCAUCUAAGCUUCCUCCAUGUCUUUUCAUGGCUUCCUAACUUUUUUUAGUGCUUAAUAAUAUUCUGUUAUCUAGAAUUCAAUUCAUUUGUUUUCAUCAGAACAUCUUUAUUGCUUUCAAGUUUGGGCAGUUAUGAGUAAAGAAGCUAUAAACAUGCAUAGUUAGGGUUUUAUAUGGAUAUGUUUUCAAUUCACUGGAUUAAAUACCAGAGAACAUGACUGCUGGACCACAUGGUGAAAAUGUAGUCCAUGCUUUAUAAAGGUGAAUGGUUCACUGGAGGCCAAUAAUUAAUAUUCUGCUUUGUAAACAUGUAACUUAAGGUCAAAAAAGUUAAAUGACUUACUCAAGUAUUAUACUAGUAAUAAGUGAUAGAGCAGGUCUAAACUUUGGGUUUUCUCCCUACUGGUCCAAGACUUUUUACUGUCUUAUGUGGCUUCCUCAUUACAUGACAGAGAAAAAGUUUAGAUUUCUUACCCAGAGGUCUAAGUCUAAAAUUAUCACACAGCUCAAAAAAGACUGCAGUAAUGUCAUACCUAGAACUGGGUGGGGAAAAAGGUACAAGCUAGAAAAGUAUAAUAUUUUAAGACCUUCAAGAGUGAUGAGGAUAUUAAAGUUUCAAAUAAACCCAAGUGUUUUAUUUAUGUUUAAAACUUGUUAAGUCGAUAGUGAAAUAGCAACUUACAGGAGGAAUGAAAAUACUUACAAAUCCCAUAUCCCAUAGGGUUUAAUAUCCGGAGUUGGGCUGGGUUUGUGGAUCAGUGGGAGGGCACUUGCCUAGCAUGUGUGAGGCACUGGGUUCAAUUUUAAGCACCACGUAGAAAAAUAAAUAAAAUAAAGUUAUUAUGUCCAAUUAUAACUAAAAAUGUUUUUUUAAAAAAUACCCAAAGUAAUGGGCUGGGGUUGUAGCUCAGCGGUAGAGUGCUUGCCUAUCAUGUGUGAGGCCCUGCAUCACAUAAAAAUAAAUAAGUAAAAUUAAGGUAUGUGUCGAACUACAACUAAAAAAUAAUUUUUUUAAAAAUCCAAAGUAAAUAAAGAACUCCUUCAACUCAACAACAAUAAAUUUUGAUUAACAAAUGGGCAAAGGAUUUCUCCAAAGAAGUUGCACAAAUGACCAAUAAGCACAAGAUGUACAGCAUCACUUAUCAUUAGGGAAAUGAAAAUCAAAACUACAAUUAGGUUACCAACAAUAAAAAUUAAAAAAAAAAAAAACAACUACAAUUAGGAACCACCUCACACCCAUUAGGAUUGGCUACUAUUCAAAAAUAAUAAUAAUAAUAACAAAUGUUGACAAGGGAAUGGAAAAAUAGGAACCUUCUUGUGUUGUUGGUCGGGUAAUAUAAAAUAGUGCAGCCACUAUGGAAAACAGUAUGGCAGUUGAUGAAGAAACUUAAUAAGCAAUUCCACUUUGGGGUAUAAGUACCCAAAAGAAUUGAUAACAAAAACCAAACAGGUAUUUGGACACCCAUGCUCCUAGCAUUAUUUGCAGUAGCCAAAGGUGUAAGUAUUUUAAGUGUCCAUCAAAGGUUGAAUGGAUAAACAAAAUUUGGCAUACACACAUAGAGUAGAAUAGUAUUCAUCCUUAAAAAGGAAGGGAAUUCUGAUACAUCAUUAAUGACAUUUAAGGAUAUGUUGCUAUGUGAACUAAGGACAAAUACUGUGUAAUUCUACUUAACAUUAGUUAAUCUGACCCAGAGUAGUAAGAUUCAUAGAGAAAGAAAGUUAGAUUGGUGAUUGCCAGGGAAUGAAUAGUGGAAUAGGGAGUUGCUUAAUGGAAAUGGAGUUUUGGUUUUGUAAGAUAAAGAGUUCUGAAGAUUGGGCACACAACUGCGUGACUGUAAUUAAGCCACUGAUCUGAACUGUACACUUAAAAAUGGUUGUGAUGGAGAGUGUUAUGUGUAUUCUACCAUUAAUUUAAAAAAUGAGUAAAUAUUUUGACCAAGCUCCAUAUUUUUAUAAGGCUAACUUAUGUGUUAUUAUAUUCAAGUAAACUACAUGAGUGUUAAAAAGAAUUUUCUUUUGAUGAGUCCAGUCAGUCACUCUAAUAACUAAUAUGAUUUAGUAGACAUAUAGCUUAGGAUUAUACAGUGAUUAAUUUUUAUUUGACAUUUUUGGAAAGUUCCUCCAUCAUAGUAUAACUGUUUAACUCUGAGGCAUUGCCAAGUUGUUUUUCAAGAGGCUGCACUAGGAAAAGGUUUCUUGACAGAAACAUGAGUGCAAGCAAAUGUCUUCAGAUUGGCUGGGUUUUGGGGGCUCAGGGUUCUACAAAAUUUAGAUUUCAAUACAAGGUCAUGGUAAAACAUGUGAAUUUCAAUGCCAGGACUCUGAUGAUACAAGAGGGGAACAUGGAAGGUGCCUACAGGACCCUCAGCAGAAUCCUCACCAUGGAUGGGCACUGAGGACAUGAAGCUAUAGUGGUGCUGUGAUGUGCCUGGCCUUCUGUGAAGACAGGGAAACUAUGAAACUGCUGGUGGAUCUGCAAAGUGAAAAUGGCUCCAAAAAUCAAUUUCU
rnacentral:lncRNA from 1 species